AAGUCGUAACAAGGUUUCCGUAGGUGAACCUGCGGAAGGAUCAUUAAAGAGUUGGGGUCCUUCGGGGCCCGACCUCCCACCCUAUGUUGUCGCGAAUCUGUUGCUUCGGCAGGCCCGACCGCUCCGCCCUCGUGGCGCGUGCGGCCGACCGGGUCCAGGCUCGGCCAGCUGCCUGCCGGAGUCCAACCACACAAAACCUCUGAAUAAACCAUGAAACUGUCAGAAUAUCGAUCUCUCGCAAGGGGGUGACAAAAUAAAAGUAAAA
rnacentral:misc_RNA from 1 species